GACGAACGCUGGCGGCGUGCUUAACACAUGCAAGUCGAACGGAGAGGCCCUGCUUUUGUGGGGUGCUCGAGUGGCGAACGGGUGAGUAACACGUGAGUAACCUGCCCUUGACUUUGGGAUAACUUCAGGAAACUGGGGCUAAUACCGGAUAGGAGCUCCUGCUGCAUGGUGGGGGUUGGAAAGUUUCGGCGGUUGGGGAUGGACUCGCGGCUUAUCAGCUUGUUGGUGGGGUAGUGGCUUACCAAGGCUUUGACGUGUAGCCGGCCUGAGAGGGUGACCGGCCACAUUGGGACUGAGAUACGGCCCAGACUCCUACGGGAGGCAGCAGUGGGGAAUAUUGCACAAUGGGCGGAAGCCUGAUGCAGCAACGCCGCGUGCGGGAUGACGGCCUUCGGGUUGUAAACCGCUUUCGCCUGUGACGAAGCGUGAGUGACGGUAAUGGGUAAAGAAGCACCGGCUAACUACGUG
rnacentral:rRNA from 1 species